UGUCAGCAAUUUUGCACGGUGUCUUUGUGGAGCUGGAAAAUUUGAUUAAGCUUUUAAUCGGUUGUUUGUUUAAAGAUAACCGGUUGGAUCUUGUUUUGAAAGUGUUAUUGAAGAUGCUAGAGAAUUCUUGCACUCCAAAUGUUGUUAUUUACAGAGAGAUGGUUGAUGGCCUCUGUAAAGUUGGAAAAACAGAUGAACCUUACAAGCUCAUGCUCAAGAUGGAAGAAAAGGGCUGCAAUCCAAAUGUUAUAACCUAUACUGCAAAGAUUGAUGGCUUUGGGAAAUUAGGAAAAACUGAACAGUUGAUAUAA